rnacentral:rRNA from 1 species
GGGAAACUCUGACACAGCCAUGCCGCGUGUGUGAAGAACGCCUUAGGUUGUAAAGCACUUUCAGUAGGAGGAACUAGCAGCGUUAAUACCGCUGUGAGAUGACGUUACCUACAGAAGAAGAUCCGGCUAACUCCGUGCCAGCAGCCGCGGUAAUA